GGAGGAGGAGGAGAUCACCAAAGUAGACAUGUUACAGUUGCUUCUUCCCCUGAACUGGCAGAGCCCAACAGAAAGAGGGCCUUUCUUACACAUGCUGGAUGCCAAAGGGAUGAAGCUGAGGAUUCGUCUCCAUCUCCACCACCCCACCACCACCCUACCACACAUACCCUAUACUACUAUUCAAAUUUGAGCUGGAGUUAGAGGUUACAAGUCAACAUUCACCUUGGUUCAGCAUCACUAUCUGCCAGUCCUGGGCCAGUGCUGCUGGCAGUGGGCAGAUCGCUAAGAUGAGCCACAGACACACUUUCCUCCUUACAAGGUCAUCCCUGGACUUAUUGUCUCGCUUUCUUUCAAACAGCUGAGGCUCCUGCACAGGACAAAGUGUCUCCUCUUAGUCUUCCUGCAAGACAGGGAGCCAGAAUUUGGAACUCUUAGCUCAUCUGAACAACGCCAAGGCCUUCUUUCCACUGUACCCUCAAGAGACCUCGAAAGCAUCGGCAGCCAGAUCUGUGCCCUCCCCAACACGAGGCUGGCUGAGCUUCUGGGCAUGAACAAGAAGGCAUCUCAUAAACAGAAUGUGGAUUGGGAAGACAAUGGAGAGAAUGGGAGUAAUGGCCUACAAAUGAAAGACAAUUGAAAUGGAAAAUGGACUGAAAUUUACACUUUUUAGAAAGGAGAGGCCACCAUCUAUGGCUGCAUUCCAUUCCAGCUCCCAUGCCCCAUCACUGUACCUUUUUUUUUUAACCCUCCACAUCUUCUGAUAAGUGUUAACACCACUUUAAACCUCUGGGCUGCUUCUCUCAGUGUGUCAUUUAAAUAAGGACAUGGCUUCUAGA